CAUCGCCUUUUUCAUUUUUCAUGAGUUUUUGUUUCUCCUUUGUUUAUUUUUAAUCUUGGAGCCGUCAAAAAGAUAGCUAGGGGGUGAUGCCCCUUUUCCUCUUCUCUCCUCCAUUUUCGGUCGACCACCACCAUCAACCAUGGUGGCUCGAGCUAUGCCACCAUCAUCCGACCACCUUGGCCACCAUCAGACCAUCCAACUUUUGCC
rnacentral:lncRNA from 1 species